GUCGAACAGCCACAUUGGGACUGAGACACGGCCCAAACUCCUACGGGAGGCAGCAGUAAGGAAUUUUUGGCAAUGGAGGAAACUCUGACCGAGCGACGCCGCGUGAACAAUGAAGUACUUCGGUAUGUAAAGUUCUUUUAUUGAAAAAGAAAAAAUAGUGGAAAAACUAUCUUGACAUUAUUCAAUGAAUAAGCCCCGGCUAAUUAUGUGCCAGCAGCCGCGGUAAUACAUAAGGGGCGAGCGUUAUCCGGAAUUAUUGGGCGUAAAGGGUGCGUAGGCGGUUUGAUAAGUCUAUAGUUUAAAUGCAGUGCUUAACGCUGUAGCGCUAUAGAAACUGUCUGACUAGAGUUAGAUAGAGGCAAGCGGAAUUCCAUGUGUAGCGGUAAAAUGCGUAAAUAUAUGGAGGAACACCAGAGGCGUAGGCGGCUUGCUGGGUCUUAACUGACGCUGAGGCACGAAAGCGUGGGGAGCAAACAGGAUUAGAUACCCUGGUAGUCCACGCCGUAAACGAUGAGUACUAAGUGUCGGGUUUCGACUCGGUACUGAAGUUAACACAUUAAGUACUCCGCCUGAGUAGUACGUACGCAAGUAUGAAACUUAAAGGAAUUGACGGGACCCCGCACAAGCGGUGGAUCAUGUUGUUUAAUUCGAAGAUACACGAAAAACCUUACCAGGUCUUGACAUAAUUUUGCGACAUUAUAGAAAUAUAAUGAAGGUUAUCAGAAUUACRGGUGGUGCAUGGUUGUCGUCAGCUCGUGUCGUGAGAUGUUAGGUUAAGUCCUAAAACGAGCGCAACCCUUGUCGU
rnacentral:rRNA from 1 species